UCCUGAUUGGAUAGUCGUUUAUGAAGGGAUUAUUCUAUUCAUCCAUUAGUUCAAAAUAUUUACUGAGUGCUUAGAGUUUGAGAAGGCACUGUGCUGGAAUUUGAGGAUACUAGGAUGUAUAAGAUAGUCCACAUACUUGACUUACAGUUGAGCAGGGACAAGAGCCAAGUAAAACUUUUUAGAGUAUUGUGUACGUGUAUAUACAGUCAUGCAUUGCUUAACGACAGGGAUAUGUUCUGAGAAAUGUGUUGUCAGACGAUCUCACCAUUGUGUGAAAUCAUAGUGUGUACUUACACAAGCCCAAAUGGUAUAACCUGCUACACACCUAGGCUAUUUGGUACUAAUUUUAUGGAACCACCAUUGUAUAUGUGGUCUGUCAUUGACUGAAACAUCAUUAUGCGGUGCAUGAAUGUAUAUAUCUAUACACACAUGUGCAUUAUACAUACAUGUGUAUGUAUAAAGAGAUUUAUUUCUAAGAGUUUCCUCAUGCAGUUAUGGGGGCUGACAAGCCCAAACCUAUGGGGCAGGCCAGCAGGGUUUCUAUAUUGCAGUAUUAAGGCAGAAUUCUUUCUCUAGGAAAUCUCAGGUUUUGCUCUUAAGGCUUUCAACUGAUUGAAUGAGGCCCACCUGCAUUACUGAGGAUCAUCUUCUUAAAGUCAACUGGUGGUGACCCUUUGUAAACAAAACAUGAUGACAUUAUGUUGACAAAGAAAACUAACCAUCACAAGAGGGUGACACAGGGAGACAAUGAGGGGCCCUUCUACUUUAUAUGUGGGAGACCACCACAGCGUGACUUGAUAAGCGGUAUGUAGGUCUGCAACCAGGAUCCAAACCCGCGAACCGUGGGCCAGUGAAGUGGAGUGCACGAACUUAACCAUUAUACCACCAGGCUGGCUCCCACAUUUAAUAUUUUUGAUGCAUUUGUUAUCUCCCUUUCUCCAUAGUAGCUUUGGCCAUGAAAGAACAAAAUAAUCUGGAUGCAUCCAAAAGGGGGAAAAGAAAUCAAAUAGCAUUUUAUAAUGUCCUUAGCUCGGCUUUAUUGAGGCAAGAAAUUCUCUGUGUGCCAAGGGGCAUCCAUAAUUUACGGUAUGAAGAGCUUUUUUUCUGCACAAGAUAACUCUCAGGAACAGAACAACCUCUCAGGUCACUUUGACCUGGCUCUCAGCUGUCUCAACUGCGUCUCAGACAGGAAAACACCCAGCUCAAUGCUUAAUUUUAUUUCAACACUACCGCUUUUUAGUACAGUGAUUUUUUUUUUUUAAAAGUCGUUUGAAAAUUGUAAGAAAAUUUUACUAAUCGAUAGGGCUUUAGGAAUAGCUCAUAUUGGGAGAACUUCCUACGUCCACGGAAAGAGCCUAGGAAAUGUUACAUCGCAGAAAGAAAUCUAGACUCUCUUUGGUCUGUGUCAGUGAGCACUGAGUACUGAUGCAGACAGUCUAUAUAUGUUCUUUUCAAGUGAGUCUAAAUCCCAAACCCAUCAUAUGAUAUAGAUGCUCAUUAAAUGUGUGUUAAACAUGGCCGGGGAUUAGUGGUCCCUGAUUGUCCUUUCCCAGCUUCAUGUAAAAAUACCCACAGAAACUGAAAUAGUACUAGAAACUAAAGAUAAACGGAAACUCUGCCAAAAUCCACUCGGAAUUUAUGCUAACUCCAGAGUCAAUCACUGAAUACAUUGACCCAAAUUAACUGCAGAGUAGGUAGGGAAAAGCCAUAACUCAGACACUGCCUCUAACUCGGGUCAAAGGAGCUGCACUGCCUGGAAAAUCAAGCCCUUAUUGCCCAGCCACCAUCUGAGCUAGCUAGAGUUGAGGUCUGUGCCCACCCCUCAGCAUCCCUCAGCUCCUUGCUUUUGCCUGCAUUUUAGAGACGAUCGAUUUCAACUUUUGGCACCACUGCAGAUUCAGGAGGGAGGGGACGUUGCAGCCUUGGAUAUUCAGUCACCACGAAGAAAACCUUGUAGAAGGGCGGAGAGUGGAGGAUCCCUGGAUUGUAGCAAAUGCUGGGGAGUGUACAACAGUUGAACAAAGAACAUUUGUCUGGCUCCAGCAAAGCCAGAUGAUCUAAGAAUUGGAGCAGAAGAUGCUCAUGCCUCAGCCCAGCAGCCAGAUAGUGACACAAGGUCCUUAUGAGGCCACCUCACUCCAGGUAUAGAUCCGAAAGGAACUGAGCUCCCUUGUGAGCAGGGAGGAGGCCCAAGGGCACAUGAAACCCCCUGGUGGGGUUAAGAGCUUGGGUAAUGGAGGCAGAAGACCUGGCUUUAAAUCCUGGCUCUACUGCUGACCAGCUGUGGGGUCUGGGGCAGAUUAUCCAGUCAUUUUGGCUUUUGAUUUCCUCACAUUUAACAUGGGAGUGAUAUCUACCUCAGAGUUUGCAGAACGUAGGCAAGCUAAUGUCUGUGAAGUACUUCGCACUCACUUGUACAAAGAAGUAUGUAAAUAAUCUUUCAUUUUUAUUAGUUGUAAAGAAAGGAUAAGUUGAGAUAAACAGGAGGAAUGAAAGGGGAUCAUCCUGAAAUAUACAAAAAAUAAAAGGAAACCCAAAUGCAAAUUCCCGUGGGCGUACAAAUCAGCAUAACUGACACUACGGAAAAUUUCAGGGUCAUAUGGGCACUCUCCAAAAAUCUAGAGAAGAGGGAUGAGAAAAAAAUAAGAUAGAGCAGACAAAAAAGAAAUGAGAAUGCGACCUUUGAAUUAUGGGUUUUCCCCUAAAAAACAAAAAAAAUGAAAGAAGUAAUAAUUAAAGAAAACUUUCCUGAACUAACCAAAAGAGCUAAGUUUAUUUACUGAUAGUUUUUAUUAUGUGUAUGCAAAAUUAAUGAAAACUACUAGUAAUAAGACAUAGCCUUUAAAAUUUUACAUAAUUAGAUAUUGGCAGGGAGCAUACAGAAGAAUCAUUAUUUACAAUUAUGUUAUUCAAAACCUGAGAAUGCAAGAGAACAAAUGGAAAAACUAUUAAUGAGUUUGGAAAGGUAGCCAAUUGCAUAAUAAACAUACAAAAAUUAAUAUAAGCCAGUUGAUCGAUUAGAAAAUAUAAUGGAAAAAGCUGUUGUUCACAGUACUAUUACUAAUUUAAAAUGCAGUGAAAUAAAAGUGACCAAAUUUACAAGAAAUGUACAAGACCCUUAAAAAGAAAACUGUAAAACUCUCCAGGGGACACAGAGGAAUAUUCAGAGAAAGAAUUCUUGGUCAGAUUCAUGUAAAGAUUUUCCCUUCAAACUCUAGAAAUUCAAAGUAAUUCAUAACAAAAUCUCAGUGGGACUAUUUAGGAACCUUUAAAAAUGUUUCCAAAGUUUUUUUGUGUGAAAAAGGGGCAAAUAACCAGAAAAAUUCAGGAAAACAAAUGAGCUGGAACGAGUCCCAGCAGAUAUGAAAAUCUUUCCCGAGUUAGAGUUGCUGAAGUGGAGUCACACUAGUCCGAAAGUGACUAGAUCAGUGGAACCAAAUAGAGUCUAGAAAGACUUCUCACUCUGUGUGUGAUAAAAAUGGCUUUUCAGUGAGGAAAAAGGCUAUUCAAUAAGAGAACUGGCUACCCAUUUGGGAAAAAGAAAUAAAACUAGAAUCUGACUUCACAUAUAAAAACAGAAGACUUUUAGAUGGUUCAAAAAUUUAAAUAUAAAAAAUCAUAUAAAACACAGACAUGGUAGAAUAGUUUUUAUAAUCUUGAGAGGUGAAAAGCCUCUUAGACCAUUAAUCAAAAGCCCGAACUAUAAAAGAAAGAGCAAAGUAGGCAAAGUAGAAAAAGAUCUCCAAUAAUAAAGAUUAAUGAUCUUAAAAAAAAAAGAAUUCUUCAAAUUAAUUAGUAAAUGAUGAACGCCUCACAAGAGAAAUGGACAUGAGUAGAUAAUCCAUAAAAGAAUAGAUACAUACAGCCAGCAAACUUUUGGAAAGAGUUAUUCAACCUCACUAGUAAUACAAGAAAGGGACACCCAUGGACUAUUGAAGGGAAUACAAAAUUGUUUCUGUUCUGGAGAGCAGAUAGGCAAUGUCUAUAAGUUUAAAAUGGGGAUCCCCCUUGACCCAUUAACUUCACUACAGGAAUUUAUUCUAAAGAGAUAGACAUGUCUGUAGACAUGUGUCAAGAUUGUUUUCACUGCAGCGUUGCUUAUCAUCCUACAGCAUUGGAAGCAACCUGACUGUCCAUCAGUUGAGUGAUUAACAAGCUAAUUCAUUCCUACAAGGUAAUACAAGGUAGCUACUAUAAUGAUCAUGUAUAUCCAUAGUUACUAACAUGGGAAGAUGUUCAAGGCACAGUAUUAAGAAUAUAAAUUUAAAGAACAGAUAUAGAAUAUGUAUAAUGUAAUUCCACUUCUAUAUAAUUGUCUGUGUUUACUUAUGCAUUUCAAGAGAUACCUGGUAGAUAUUUAUCAAAUUUUUUUGUCUUAGUGGUGGGGUUAGGUUCCCAGCAUUUUCAAAUAUUUUUUUAACGAAAAGUCAUUUCUGAAAAAUCAAUGGCUAAAUUCCAUUUAAGAUAAAUGCUUUCUUAAAUAAUAAAUAGUAGGAUCUAAAGAGUUUAAUAUCAAAAAGCAAAAUGACUGACAAUUAAAUUUCUGAGUACAUGUAUAUCUUACUUUGAAUAUUCUGUAGUUAUAUGUCUGCACAUUCAGAAACAUUCAGAAUUCACUUCUUGCCAGUGCUGAUAAUUUAUGAUUUAUUCUUAUGACAUGCUCUGUAAAAAAUUAUAGUGUGUUUGUAUUAAAUUUGCACUAAGUGGAUCAUAACUGUUUAUUUUAUUCUUUUUUUUAAAAAAAAUAAUAAAUUGUCCUUAGAAAAUAUUCCAUUUCGUUUUAAAAAUAUAAAGCAUUCUUCAGGUGGUGUGAACAAUCUGAUCCUGGGAAAACUUUGUGUUUGCAUCCCUCGUAAUGAACCCUCAGAUUUAACUCAUGGUUAAUAAAAAACCCAAGAGGAACUUGGGCUUAUCAGUUUGUUUUGGAUGUUUAUUUUGAUUGCAGCAUCACAUCUGAAAUCCAAUUGUGAGCAUCACUUCUAAUCAAGGCACUUUUAGUAGGUGUGACAAAUGCAUUUUAACAAAAUCGUACCCAUGUAUUAUUUGGUGAAAUAUUAUUUUGCUUAGGAAUUAACACCGUAAUUCUGCUUCACAGAUUAUCCAUGUAAUUUGCGUUUUUACACGUCUUGCAGUUUCCUUCAUCCUAGAGUAGUUUUAAGUUUAUUAGCUGGUUAUUAGUUUUGUUUAUAGACCUAUUGCUAUAGCUUCUAAGUGUUUCUCAGGUUAUGUUCCCUUUUAUGUCUAUCAAAUGAUGUUUCCACAUAAAUGAAAACUCGUAA
ensembl:lncRNA